AUACGGAGGAUGCGAGCGUUAUCCGGAUUUAUUGGGUUUAAAGGGUGCGUAGGCGGAAUAUAAGUCAGUUGUGAAAGUUUGCGGCUCAACCGUAAAAUUGCAGUUGAUACUGUUAUUCUUGAGUGUACAUAAGGUAGGCGGAAUUCGUGGUGUAGCGGUGAAAUGCUUAGAUAUCACGAAGAACUCCAAUUGCGAAGGCAGCUUACCGGGGUACAACUGACGCUGAGGCUCGAAAGCGUGGGGAGC
rnacentral:rRNA from 1 species